rnacentral:rRNA from 1 species
ACGUAGGGGGCAAGCGUUAUCCGGAUUUACUGGGUGUAAAGGGAGCGUAGGUGGCAAGGCAAGUCAGAUGUGAAAACCCGGGGCUCAACCCCGGGACUGCAUUUGAAACUGUCUAGCUAGAGUGCAGGAGAGGUAAGUGGAAUUCCUAGUGUAGCGGUGAAAUGCAUAGAUAUUAGGAGGAACACCAGUGGCGAAGGCGGCUUACUGGACUGUAACUGACACUGAGGCUCGAAAGCGUGGGGAGCAAACAG